UGCCCCAGGAGAAGCUGUGCUGUGUGGAGAGCCUUAAACUUUUUGCUUCCUGACCAGGUAUUGGCAGAUCAUGUCCAAGGACUAAGUUUGAUGAUGAGCCUGCAGAUUACAAAAUGAUCAGCUGUGCUACCUUCUGCACUGAUUUUCAAAUAUUAAUUCAUUCAACAAACACAGUAUCUGUUGAGUGCCUAUUCUGCUACCUUCAGUUCUUGGUAGCAGGGAAACAGUGAUGAGUAGAAUACCUCCCCACCCUUUGGGACUUGCACAGAUUUUUUUCUGCUAUGACAUUUUUCCCCCUAUCAGCCUAAAUCUGUCCUGUAUGCAUCUUUUUUUUUUUUACUUAUUUAUUUGAUGGGGGACAAGGUGAGAAAGAGAGAGAAGGAACAAGAGUAUGCCAAUCUGCUGGGUUCCUUCUCCAAUGCCUACAAUGGAAGGGGCUGGGCUGGGGCCAAACCCAGAAGCUGAUUAUAUUAUCCACAUCCACAACUGCAAGGAAGGCAGAUAUAUUACACUACUCACAUCUCCACGUGAGCCGUCACCUACUGGCUCCUAGCACCUGCACUAACAGGAAUGUGGAAUGAGGAGCUGGAGCCAAGAAUUGAACUCAGUCUCUCUGCUGUAGGCAUGGGUGUUUUAACCUCAAGGCUAAAUGCUUGCUCCUUCAAGUCCCCUUCAUCCUAAAAAUACCUCUCCUUUUUCUAAUUAGCACUCCUGAAGUGUGACUGGUUCAAACUCUAUUGAGUCCUUUUCUCAAAUAUCUUUCUUCUUUAUAUGAAUGUUUCUUCCCAGUUUAUGAUCUUUCCACGCAGCAUCACGACAGAAAUCUGACUGAAGCCCUUUCUCCAAAGUCUGAUGUUUCUCAAUUCUUUCCUGAAAACUACUGCAGAAGAAAUUUGGUCACUGAAUAAAUCAAGUUGUCCCUUGUCUAUUGAAUUCAGUAGAAACUAUUUAGCAUGGUUUAUAAGAUCCUGGAAAAAUGGGUUUAUACUCACUGCUGCAGGCUGUGUCAUUUUUUCCCCAUUUACUUCUCAUCUUAUCAGACUCCUGACAGUUCCAGGAAUUUCCAAGAAUAUGUUCUGGGCUAACUUGUCCAGGCUGUUCUCUGUUCGAAAUUUUUAUUCUCCUUAUUUUCCACCUGAUAAAGUCCUACUUAUCCUUCAAUACUUAACUCAAAUAUUAGCUUGCCUGUGAAGCUUUUGCUAAGUCCAUCUGCUUAUGUUCUUAUUCUCUUUUGCCUACUACAGCUCAUUGUGUUGAAGUGAUUUCUUUUGCAUGUCUCUGCUUUUCAACAGACUGGAAUGUUUGAGGGAAUUUUUUUUAAAGAAAAUGUUUUAACCUCUUGAAGGCAAAGAGACAAGGAGACACUUAAAGAGAAAGAUCUCUCAUCCAGUGGUUCACUCCCCAAGAGCACACAAUGGCCAGGGAUGGGUUGGGGCUGGCCGGAAGACACACAACUCAAUCAAGGUCUCCCCUGUACAUGGAAGGGACCCACGUACUUGAGCAAGCACCUGCUGCCUCCCAGAGACAAUGAACACUUUGGUAUAAUCUGGAAUCAAACAGGUAGUCAACUUUUCAUCACUAUAGGGGAAUACCUGACACACGCCAUAAAUGAAGAAAAGAGGUAUGUUUAGUGACAAUUUUGAGGUUCAAGGGCAGGACAUCUGCAUCAGCUCAAUUCUGCUGAGGAACUGAAGGCAAAUGGUAGAAGGCAGAUAGCAAUGCAGGAGUGUGUGUUGAGGCAAGAGGGCACAUCUCAAAUCAGGAAUAGAGAAAGGCUGAGUAAGCCACACUCAGGCUUUCAUAACAAUCCUCUCCCAAGAACUACCAAGGACUCCCACAAGAUCUACUUUCCAAGGAUAUGCUUCCAAAUGACUAAGGACCUCUCACUAGAACUACCUCUUAAGUUUCCACAGCAUUUUCCAAUACUGUCAGCCUGUAGGGCAAACCUCCUAUCUUACUAUAUCCUGAAGGACAUGCAAACCAGUCUUAAAUCAUAUCAGACAGUGUCCAACGAUCUCAACUACUGUGAGAGAUUCUGCAAUAUAAUUUAAUAGACCUCAUAUUUGCUGAUUGUUUACCUUAUACAAUAUACUUCAUUCCAGCAUAAUUCUAGAGUUUAAAUUUGAUAUUCACUGAUUAAAGAAGUAAAUGACUAUUUUUAAGAAAAAAUGGAUUUAGCUUUAAAAAAUUUGAUCUCAGGUGUUAGGAAGAAUUCGACACCGUGGUUAGGAUGCAGCAAACCCAAAGGGUGGCUCCAUAACCUUGACUACCUUGGUUUUCAACACGGCACCUGACUGCUAGAUGAUUUAGAAUCUUAAGCAAACCUAGCAGUCAGCACCAUUUUCUAUAAUUUGUCUGAGCUGCUCACACAUAGAGUGUUUUUGUAUACACAUGCACAUGCACACACAAAGAUGUUGCUUGGAAUGCUUGAUCCCAUACUGGAGUGCCUGCGUUCAAGUCUUGGUUCUGAUUCAGCUUCCUGGAAAUGCAUACUGUGGGAGGCAGCAGAUGAUGGCUCCUGUAUUUGGGUCCCUGCCAUCCUUAUGGGAGAAUCAAAUUGAGUCCCAAUCUCCUGGCUUUCACUUGGCCUAGUUCCUGGUUGUUGCAGGCAUUAGGAAGUGAACCAUCAGCAGAUGGAAGAUCUCUCUUUGGCCAGGCUGAAGACAGGAGACUGGAAUUCUAUCCAGUAUACCACAUGUGUGGCAGGACAUGGAGUACAAGCAUUUGAGCUAUCAUUUGCUUCUUUUUUAGGGUAAGCUACUGCCUGUGCCAUAUGUGCACUGGUUCCAGUCCCUGCUGUUCUGCUUCCAGUCCAGCUCCCUGAAAACAUGAUUUGACCAAUGGAAUACAAUAGAAACCCCAGAAAUUAACCCACACAACUAUAAUCAACUAAUCUUUGACAAAUGAGCUAAAAUCAUUCCCUAGAGAAAGGACCAUCUGUUCAACAAAUGGUGUUGGGAAAAUUGGAUUUCCACUUGCAGAAGUAUGAAACAUGGACCUUACCUUACACUUUACACAAAAAUCAACUCAAAAUAGAUCAAGUUUCUAAACCUUAGGCCUGAAACCUUCAAACUACUUCAGGAAAACAUAGGGUAAAUUUGAGAAGACACUGGCCUAGGCAGACUUCUUUUUGAAGACCCCAAAAGCAUCGGCAAUAAAAACAAAAAUAGACAAGUCAAGUCAAGAAGAUUCUGCACAGCAGAGGAAACAAUUAGCAAGUAAUGAGGCAAAUGACAGAAUGGCAGGAAAUAUUUGCAAACUAUACAACUGAUAAAGGAGUAAUAUCCAGAAUAUAAGGAGCUCAAGAAACUCAACAAUAACAAAACAAACAAUAUAGUUAACAAAUGAAUAAAGAAUAUGAACAGGCUUUUUCAAAUAAUGAAAUACAAAUGGCCAACAGACACACAAAAAAGUACAAGAUCACUAGCUAUCAAGGAAUUGUGAAUACAAACUACAGUGAAAUUAUCUCCUCACUUCAUUUAGAAUGGUUAUUAUUCAAUGAUUAAAAAUAAUAAACACUGAUGAGGAUGUGGUAAUGAAGGUAGCCUAACACACUUUUGGUGUGGAUGCAAAACAGUAUAAUCAUUAUGGCAAACAGUACGGAGAUUUCACAGAAAACUAACAAAAAGAUUUAUCAUAGGACCCAGAUACCCCACUCCUGGGAGUAAUAUCCAAAAUAAAUGAAAUCAGCACAUCAAAGUGUUAUCUUCAAUCUCAUGUUUAUAGCAUCUCAAUCCACACCAGCAAAGAUAUGAAAUCAACCUAGAUGUCCAUCAAUUGAUGAUUGGAUAAAGAAAACGUGAUAUACGUACAGGAUGGGAUAUUAGCCAUAGAGAAGAAUGAAAUCCUGUCAUUUGCGUCAAAAUUGAUGGAACUGCAGAUCAUCAGAAAUACAAAUAUUACAUUUUCUCUUAUUUGUGGAAGUUAGUAUAGAGUAGAUAAAAUGUGUGGAUGUCACAUCAUUUGGUAUAUAGUGUGUAAGUAUUGCUUUAUUGAAUCAUAGCAUGUAAAUGACAAUA